rnacentral:piRNA from 1 species
UGGCAGGUUCCGAUGUUGUGCUGGGAGAUG